GAUGAACGCUGGCGGCGUGCCUAAUACAUGCAAGUCGAGCGAACGGACGAGAAGCUUGCUUCUCUGAUGUUAGCGGCGGACGGGUGAGUAACACGUGGAUAACCUACCUAUAAGACUGGGAUAACUUCGGGAAACCGGAGCUAAUACCGGAUAAUAUUUUGAACCGCAUGGUUCAAAAGUGAAAGACGGUCUUGCUGUCACUUAUAGAUGGAUCCGCGCUGCAUUAGCUAGUUGGUAAGGUAACGGCUUACCAAGGCAACGAUGCAUAGCCGACCUGAGAGGGCGAUCGGCCACACUGGAACUGAGACACGGUCCAGACUCCUACGGGAGGCAGCAGUAGGGAAUCUUCCGCAAAGGGCGAAAGCCUGACGGAGCAACGCCGCGUGAGUGAUGAAGGUCUUCGGAUCGUAAAACUCUGUUAUUAGGGAAGAACAUAUGUGUAAGUAACUGUGCACAUCUUGACGGUACCUAAUCAGAAAGCCACGGCUAACUACGUG
rnacentral:rRNA from 1 species